rnacentral:lncRNA from 10 species
AAAAAUGGAAUAGUCGUAUCACUGAUCUACGUAAACAAGUUGAAGAAUUGUCUGAAAGAAAAUACACUCAAGCUGUAAAAGCCAAAGGUCCACCCCUUUUUUCCAGUCUCAAGCUGAAGAUCUUUAUGUAGAAGGCCUUCCCACCAGAAAUUUUUUUAGGAAGGCUAUCCACUUACAGAAUUCCUGGCUUUGAGAGGAUAUUACUUGCAAUGGAAAGGAUUUGUUUUGUGAUUAAAAAACAUGAACUUAUGAAUUCAACACAUGAAGAUUUACAGCUUGACAAACCAGCUUCAGGAGG